rnacentral:tRNA from 1 species
GGGGCCGUAGUUCAGCGGAUUAGAAUGCCGGACUGUCGAUCCGGAGGUCGCGGGUUCGAACCCCGUCGGCCCCGCCA